rnacentral:tRNA from 1 species
GGGUAUAGCUAAAUGAAUAAAGUGAGUGCUUCGCAUGCACAAAGUCCUGGGCUCAAUCCCUAGUAUAUCCA